rnacentral:rRNA from 1 species
GACGAACGCUGGCGGCGUGCUUAACACAUGCAAGUCGAACGCUGAAGCUCAGCUUUUGUUGGGUGGAUGAGUGGCGAACGGGUGAGUAACACGUGAGUAACCUGCCCCCUUCUUUGGGAUAACGCCCGGAAACGGGUGCUAAUACUGGAUAUUCACUGGUCUUCGCAUGGGGGUUGGUGGAAAGGGUUUUUCUGGUGGGGGAUGGGCUCGCGGCCUAUCAGCUUGUUGGUGGGGUGAUGGCCUACCAAGGCUUUGACGGGUAGCCGGCCUGAGAGGGUGACCGGUCACAUAGGGACUGAGAUACGGCCCAGACUCCUACGGGAGGCAGCAGUGGGGAAUAUUGCACAAUGGGCGCAAGUCUGAUGCAGCGACGCCGCGUGAGGGAUGGAGGCCUUCGGGUUGUGAACCUCUUUCGCUCAUGGUCAAGCCGCAACAAUGGUUGUGGUGAGGGUAGUGGGUAAAGAAGCGCCGGCUAACUACGUG